rnacentral:tRNA from 1 species
GACCCUGUAGUGAAGUUCAUGGUGAGUUGCAAGCUCAUUGAUAUGUGUUUAGAUGCACAUCGGGGUCU